GAUACCCUAUUAUUUUAAAAGUAAACAAUCAAACCUAAUUAGUAAAAGUUAAGUUCUCAAAAAUUAAAGAAUCUGGCGGUAUUUUAGUCUAUUCAGAGGAAUCUGUCCUGUAAUUGAUAAUACACGAUUUUUUAUACCUAUUUUAUUAAUUUACAUAUCGCCGUAGUUUGAAUAUUUUUUAAAAAUAAUAAUAUUCAUAAUUUAUUUAAUAAAAAAAAUCAGGUCAAGGUGUAGUUUAUAGAUAGGAAGAGAUGGGUUACAAUAAAAGUAUUUAUUAUGGAUUAAUUAAUUAAAUUUUUUUAUGAAGGUGGAUUUGAAAGUAAUUUUAUUUA
rnacentral:rRNA from 1 species